AACGUAGGUGGCGAGCGUUAUCCGGAUUUACUGGGCGUAAAGGGCGUGCAGGCGGGCUGUUAAGUGGUGUAUGAAAUAUCCCGGCUCAACCGGGAGAGGUUAUGCCAGACUGGCAGUCUAGAGAGCGAGAGAGGGACGUGGAAUUCCGGGUGUAGUGGUGAAAUGCGUAGAGAUCCGGAGGAACCCCAGAGGCGAAGGCGGCGUCCUGGCUCGCAUCUGACGCUCAGACACGACAGCAUGGGGAGCGAACGGG
rnacentral:rRNA from 1 species